AACGAACGCUGGCGGCAUGCCUAACACAUGCAAGUCGAACGGGAUCCUAGCUUGCUAGGUGAGAGUGGCGGACGGGUGAGUAACACGUGGGAAUCUGCCUUUUGGUUCGGGAUAACCGCGGGAAACUGCGGCUAAUACCGAAUGCCCUCGAGAGAGGAAAGAUUUAUCGCCAGAAGAGGAGCCCGCGUCCGAUUAGGUAGUUGGUGGGGUAAAGCCUACCAAGCCGACGAUCGGUAGCUGGUCUGAGAGGAUGAUCAGCCACACUGGGACUGAGAUACGGCCCAGACUCCUACGGGAGGCAGCAGUGGGGAAUAUUGGACAAUGGGGGCAACCCUGAUCCAGCAAUGCCGCGUGAGUGAUGAAGGCC
rnacentral:rRNA from 1 species